rnacentral:tRNA from 1 species
GUUUCCGUAGUGUAGCGGUUAUCACGUGUGCUUCACACGCACAAGGUCCCCCGGUUCGAUCCCCGGGGCGGAAAACA